CCCAACCCCUGGGAGUCGGAGCAGGAGGAAAAGCAGCUGGGAAACCUGCUGGGAACUACGGAAUCGGUGGUUUUCUGUACGGUGCUCAGCCCCUCGGAAUAGGGACUGAUGGGGAAUCUGCAAAAUAUGGAAAUAGUGGCUCCCCAUAUGGAGCUCAACCGCUCCCUUCUGGUGGGAAAAGUGCGGAAAAAUAUGG